rnacentral:rRNA from 1 species
CCUACGGGAGGCUGCAGUGGGGAAUCUUGCGCAAUGGGGGAAACCCUGACGCAGCGACGCCGCGUGAGUGAUGAAGGCCUUCGGUUGUAAAGCUCUGGGGGAGAAUGGCCGGUACCUUUUUAGCAAGCACCGGCUAACUCUGUGCCAGCAGCCGCGGUAAGACAGAGGGUGCAAACGUUGUUCGGAAUUACGGGCGUAAAGCGCGUGUAGGCUGCUUGGAAAGUCGGAUGUGAAAGCCCUGGGCUCAACCUAGGAAGUGCAUUCGAAACUUCCAAGCUCGAGUUUCGGAGAGGAAGGCGGAAUUCUCGGUGUAGAGGUGAAAUUCGUAGAUAUCGAGAGGAACAUCGGUGGCGAAGCGGCCUUCUGGACGAUACUGACGCUGAGACGCGAAAGCGUGGGGAGCAAACAGGAUUAGAUACCCUUGUAGUC